rnacentral:rRNA from 1 species
UACGUAGGGUGCGAGCGUUGUCCGGAAUUAUUGGGGCGUAAAGAGCUCGUAGGCGGUCUGUCGCGUCGGUCGUGAAAACUUGGGGCUUAACCCCGAGCCUGCUUCUGAUACGGGCAGACUAGAGGUAUGCAGGGGAGAACGGAAUUCCUGGUGUAGCGGUGAAAUGCGCAGAUAUCAGGAGGAACACCGGUGGCGAAGGCGGUUCUCUGGGCAUUACCUGACGCUGAGGAGCGAAAGUGUGGGGAGCGAACAGG